UCUAAGUUUUAGGUUUAACUCGACCACGACCGUACAAGACGGCGGACAUUGAUACCUGAAGUCUGUUGGCGUGCCCUUGCCUAUGGGCUGGAAGACAGAAACUACAGGGUCGCUUGUCGAUCUUCCUUCCCAAAAGAAUAGGACUAGAUCACAAGCAUGCUAACGACGCGACGAUGGCUCCAUACUGUUAUAGAUUUAGUAUCGGAAUGGAUUUUAAAACUUCAGCCACGUCCCAGCAUCUUGUUUCGGGCCCGCUUGAAAUCCAUACGAGAAUCAUACCAGUGUCGCACCCGCAUACAAAGCCUUCUCUAUUGCAUUUGAACCUGGGCUGAACUACCAAAAAUCCCACACAAAGCCUCUGCCUCUUGUCUUAUGCGAGAUCCCAGCAUCCAUCAAUGCUUUGGGUUCUUGUGGGCGCCAGACCAUUUAAACCACCAAAGGCCCACUUGAUUUGUUCACUCCACACUCACAUUAUAGGCCUAAUCCAUGCUCUCCAACUCCUGUUGCGCCCAUC
rnacentral:lncRNA from 1 species